rnacentral:rRNA from 1 species
AUUGAACGCUGGCGGCAGGCUUAACACAUGCAAGUCGAGCGAGCGGCGGACGGGUGAUUAAUGUCUGGGAACCUGCCUGAUGGAGGGGGAUAACUCCUGGAACCGUUAGCUAAUACCGCAUACCAUCAGAUGUGCCCAGAUGGGAGUAGCUAGUAGGUGGGGUAAUGGCUCACCUAGGCGACGAUCCCUAGCUGGUCUGAGAGGAUGACCAGCCACACUGGAACUGAGACACGGCCCAGACUCCUACGGGAGGCAGCAGUGGGGAAUAUUGCACAAUGGGCGCAAGCCUGAUGCAGCCAUGCCGCGUGUGUGAAGAAGGCCUUAGGGUUGUAAAGCACUUUCAGCGAGGAGGCGUUACUCGCAGAAGAAGCACCGGCUAACUCCGUGCCAGCAGCCGCGGUAAUUC